GACGAACGCUGGCGGCGUGCCUAAUACAUGCAAGUAGAACGCACAGUUUAUACCGUAGCUUGCUACACCAUAGACUGUGAGUUGCGAACGGGUGAGUAACGCGUAGGUAACCUGCCUGGUAGCGGGGGAUAACUAUUGGAAACGAUAGCUAAUACCGCAUAAUAUUGAUUAUUGCAUGAUAAUUGAUUGAAAGAUGCUAUUGCAUCACUACCAGAUGGACCUGCGUUGUAUUAGCUAGUAGGUGAGGUAACGGCUCACCUAGGCGACGAUACAUAGCCGACCUGAGAGGGUGAUCGGCCACACUGGGACUGAGACACGGCCCAGACUCCUACGGGAGGCAGCAGUAGGGAAUCUUCGGCAAUGGACGAAAGUCUGACCGAGCAACGCCGCGUGAGUGAAGAAGGUUUUCGGAUCGUAAAGCUCUGUUGUAAGAGAAGAACGGGUGUGAGAGUGGAAAGUUCACACUGGGACGGUAUCUUACCAGAAAAGGACGGCUAACUACGU
rnacentral:rRNA from 1 species